rnacentral:rRNA from 1 species
CCCUUAGAUGUUCUGGGCCGCACGCGCGCCACACUGAAGGGAUCAGCGUGUUUUCCCUUCCCGAGAGGGACGGGUAACCCGCUGAACCCCCUUCGUGGUAGGGAUCGGAGCUUGCAAUUGUUCUCCGUGAACCAGGAAUUCCCAGUAAGCGCAAGUCAUAAGCUUGCGUUGAUUACGUCCCUGCCCUUUGUACACACCGCCCGUCGCUACUACCGAUUGAACGUUUUAGUGAGGUAUUUGGACUGGGCCUUGGGAGGUUUCGGCCUCCCUUGUUGCUCGGAAAGACUCCCAAACUUGAGCGUUUAGAGGAAGUAAAAGUCGUAACA